UCUCCUACGGGAGGCAGCAGUGGGGGAUAUUGCGCAAUGGGGGAAACCCUGACGCAGCAACGCCGCGUGAAGGAAGACGGUUUUCGGAUNGUAAACUUCUUUUNNNAAGGACGAUAAUGACGGUNCUAACGA
rnacentral:rRNA from 1 species